rnacentral:rRNA from 1 species
ACUCCUACGGGAGGCAGCAGUAAGGAAUAUUGCGCAAUGGACGAAAGUCUGACGCAGCGAUACCGCGUGAAGGAUGAAGGUUUUCGGAUUGUAAACUUCUUUUAAUAGUGAACAAGCGAAAGUGAGAGUAACUAUAGAAAAAGCACCGGCUAACUACGUGCCAGCAGCCGCGGUAAU